AAAAGAAUAAUUAACAAAUGUUACAAAUAGGAAAUUUCAACAGAAUUUCUGAAUGUACAAGGCUAAUCAUUGCUCAACCAGACUUAACAGUUCUUUUUGUCCAAAAGGCCAGGAUUUCAGAGGAAGCCAUUAGUACAUUCUCAAGAGGCAGCCAUUACUGUUGGGUUAGCAGGUGCACUGGUCUACGUGUACAGUCAAGACCCCCUCCCCCCUUUCCUCCGUCUCUGGCUCUCUGAAACUCACACACACACACACACACACACACACACACACUUCUCUUACAUUAACCCUGUGAACGCUGUGUGCCGACUGGCUGUGGGAAUAUCAAUGAACACUGGACAAUAAUACAGGACCCUGAUAUUAAUUUCCUUGCCAAGCAUGAAGUUGGUAACUGAAUUCACUCCAUGGCAUUGCGUCCACUGAAUACACUGUAUCAAUUAUGUUUCCUUACCGUUUUUCUUUUGUUAUAGGCUCAUGCAUUGUCCAGGCAUUAAACACAAGCCAAAAUCAAUAUCAACAAAAGAUGGACUAUAAACAUAAGCAUUGAACUAUUAGUGUUUGUGAAGCACAUUUUUCAUGUCCAUCACAGGUGAGGUGGACUGUCUGUAUGAUUCCGGUUUCUCACUGACCAAUCAGACUUGGAUUAGACCAUGGCUGAAAUAAAAACAUCAAAAAAAGAAAAAAAACCUGUCCCUGAAAAAUAAAUGGGGAAAAAUGGCAUCUGGGUCCUCAGCUGUUUGUUUGCCACACAAAUGGGUUGCCGUGGUGAUGAGGAGACGGCCCUCAUCCGGAUGGAGCUGUUCUUAAUGCAGCCUGAUUGUAGGUCUGGAGAGGCCACUCUUCAAGCCGGCAGGCCUGGCAAUGGAGGACAGUGAUUUCAGCUCGUGAUUAGUUUCUUUUGCUGAUUUGGGUGGCUCAUCCUUGUGUUUUCCCAAAUCAUUGUCCUCGCCUGUCUCCUGUUCAUAUCAUUUGCUGUCUUAAGGGAACACGCACACACACACACGCACA
ensembl:lncRNA